CUCGGCGUUUGAUCCUGGCUCAGAUUGAACGCUGGCGGAAUGCUUUACACAUGCAAGUCGAACGGUAGAGGGGGCAACCCCUCGAGAGUGGCGAACGGGUGAGUAAUAUAUCGGAACGUGCCCAGUCGUGGGGGAUAACGUAGCGAAAGUUACGCUAAUACCGCAUACGAUCUACGGAUGAAAGCGGGGGACUCGCAAGAGCCUCGCGCGAUUGGAGCGGCCGAUAUCAGAUUAGGUAGUUGGUGAGGUAAAGGCUCACCAAGCCAACGAUCUGUAGCUGGUCUGAGAGGACGACCAGCCACACUGGAACUGAGACACGGUCCAGACUCCUACGGGGAGGCAGCAGUGGGGAAUUUUGGACAAUGGACGCAAGUCUGAUCCCAGCCCAUUCCGCGUGCAGGACGAAGGCCUUCGGUUGUAAACUGCUUUUAUACAGGAAGAAACGACUCUUGCGAGAGGCAUUGACGGUACUGUAUGAAUAAGCACGGCUAACU
rnacentral:rRNA from 1 species